rnacentral:rRNA from 1 species
AGAUGGCGACCGGCGCACGGGUGAGUAACACGUAUCCAACCUGCCGAUAACUCGGGGAUAGCCUUUCGAAAGAAAGAUUAAUACCCGAUAGUAUAAUGAAACCGCAUGGUCUUAUUAUUAAAGAAUUUCGGUUAUCGAUGGGGAUGCGUUCCAUUAGGCAGUUGGUGAGGUAACGGCUCACCAAACCUUCGAUGGAUAGGGGUUCUGAGAGGAAGGUCCCCCACAUUGGAACUGAGACACGGACCAA